AGUUAACGUAGCAAAGCCCGGCCUUGCUAAAGAUCUAAGCCCUUUCUACAGAGGUUCAAAUCCUCUCGUUAACU
rnacentral:tRNA from 1 species